GACGAACGCUGGCGGCGUGCUUAACACAUGCGAGUCGAACGAUGAACCCGGAGCUUGCUCCGGUGGAUUAGUGGCGAACGGGUGAGUAACACGUGAGUAACCUGCCCUUGACUCUGGGAUAACUGCGGGAAACUGUAGCUAAUACCGGAUACGACCCUCGGCGGCAUCGCCAGGGGGUGGAAAGAAUUUCGGUCAAGGAUGGACUCGCGGCCUAUCAGCUAGUUGGUGAGGUAACGGCUCACCAAGGCGACGACGGGUAGCCGGCCUGAGAGGGUGAGCGGCCUCGCUGUGCCCGAGACACGGGCCCGACGACUACGGGAGGCAGGAGUGGGGAAUAUUGCUCCAUGGGCGCAAGACUGAUGCAGCAACGCCGCGUGAGGGAUGACGGCCUUCGGGUUGUAAACCUCUGGUAGUAGGGAAGAAGCGAAAGUGACGGUACCUGCAGAAAAAGCACCGGCUAACUACGUGCCAGCCGCCGCAGUAA
rnacentral:rRNA from 1 species